AAUAGGGUAGCCUAGUGGACAUGGCAUCUGCCCGGUAAGCGGAACAGUGUGGGUUCGAUUCCCAUCCCUGGACACUUUUA
rnacentral:tRNA from 1 species